rnacentral:tRNA from 2 species
GCCCGAUUAGCUCAGCUGGUUAGAGCGUCGUACUAAUAUUACUCUCUUUGAGUCAUAUCAAGUCAUGCGAAGGUCAACAGUUCAAUCCUGUUAUUGGGCA